UAGUGAGUUUGAUCCUGGCUCAGAAUCAACGCUGGCGGCGUGCCUAACACAUGCAAGUCGAACGUGAAAGGGACUUCGGUCCUGAGUAAAGUGGCAAACGGGUGAGUAACGCGUGGGUGAUCUGCCUCUGAGUGGGGGAUAACGUUCCGAAAGGGACGCUAAUACCGCAUGACAUCCUGUUCUUGGAUGAACGGUGAUCGAAGCUGGGGACCGCAAGGCCUGGCGCUUGGAGAGGAGCCCGCGUCCGAUUAGCUAGUUGGUGGGGUAACGGCCUACCAAGGCGACGAUCGGUAGCCGGCCUGAGAGGGCGGACGGCC
rnacentral:rRNA from 1 species